rnacentral:rRNA from 1 species
CUGGCUCAGGAUGAACGCUAGCUACAGGCUUAACACAUGCAAGUCGAGGGGCAGCAUUGGGGUAGCAAUACUCAGAUGGCGACCGGCGCACGGGUGAGUAACACGUAUCCAACCUGCCGCUUACUCGGGGAUAGCCUUUCGAAAGAAAGAUUAAUACCCGAUGGUAUAAAGAGUUCGCAUGUUCUCUUUAUUAAAGAAUUUCGGUAAGCGAUGGGGAUGCGUUCCAUUAGAUAGUUGGCGGGGUAACGGCCCACCAAGUCUACGAUGGAUAGGGGUUCUGAGAGGAAGGUCCCCCACAUUGGAACUGAGACACGGUCCAAACUCCUACGGGAGGCAGCAGUGAGGAAUAUUGGUCAAUGGACGAGAGUCUGAACCAGCCAAAAGUAGCGUGAAGGAUGACUGCCCUAUGGGUUGUAAACUUCUUUUAUAAGGGAAUAAAGUGAGGGACGUGUCCCUUUUUGUAUGUACCUUAUGAAUAAGGAUCGGCUAACUCCGUGCCAGCCGCGGC